rfam:Felis catus isolate Cinnamon breed Abyssinian chromosome B1, whole genome shotgun sequence.
GCCUGGGUGGCUCAGUCGGUUGAGCGUCCGACUUCGGCUCAGGUCAUGAUCUCGCGGUCUGUGAGUUCGAGCCCCACGUCGGGCU